rnacentral:rRNA from 1 species
GACAGAGGGUGCAAACGUUGUUCGGAAUUACUGGGCGUAAAGCGCGUGUAGGCGGCUAAGUAAGUCGGGCGUGAAAUCCCAGCGGCCUCAACCGUGGAAGUGCACUCGAAACUGCGUAGCUAGAGUCCUGGAGAGGAAGGUGGAAUGCUUGGUGUAGAGGUGAAAUUCGUAGAUAUCAAGCGGAACACCGGUGGCGAAGGCGGCCUUCUGGAC